rnacentral:rRNA from 1 species
AUUGAACGCUGGCGGCAGGCCUAACACAUGCAAGUCGAGCGAGCGGCGGACGGGUGAGUAAUGCUUGGGAAUCUGGCUUAUGGAGGGGGAUAACUACGGGAAACUGUAGCUAAUACCGCGUACCAUAGGAUGAGCCCAAGUGGGAGUAGGUAGUUGGUGAGGUAAAGGCUCACCAAGCCGACGAUCUCUAGCUGGUCUGAGAGGAUGACCAGCCACACUGGGACUGAGACACGGCCCAGACUCCUACGGGAGGCAGCAGUGGGGAAUAUUGCGCAAUGGGGGCAACCUGACGCAGCCAUGCCGCGUGAAUGAAGAAGGCCUUCGGGUUGUAAAGUACUUUCGGUAGCGAGGCGUUAACUACAGAAGAAGCACCGGCUAACUCCGUGCCAGCCGCCGCGGUAAUUC